AGCUGGGACUACAGCAACAUGGCAGAACAGGAUGCAGAAAAUGAGCUUUUGGAUUAUGAAGAGCCCCAGGCUUCUCCAGGGAGCACUCUGGUUCCCCGUAAGAAAGAUGUCAAGGGAUCCUACGUUUCUGUUCACAGCUCUGGUUUCUGGGACUUUCUGCUGAAACUGGAGCUCCUGAGGUCCAGUAUGAGUGCAUUCUCCAGGCCACCCUGGGCAUGGACAUCCUGUGCCAGGCCAAAUCUGGGAUGGGCAAGAUGGCGGUCUUUGUGCUGGCCACUGUGCAGCAGAUCGGGCCCAUCAACUGACAGGUGACAGUCCUGAUCGUGUGCCACACAGGGGAGCUGGCCUUCCAGAUCAGCAAGGAGUAUGAAUGAUCACUUCUCCAAGUAGAUGCCCAGUGUCAAGGUGUCCAUGUUUUUCGGAGGCCUCUUCAUCAAGAAGAAUGAAGAAUUGUUGAUGAGUUGUCCUCAUGUCAUGGUGGGGACCCCAGGUCAGAUCGUAGCACUUAUGCAGAACAGGAGCCUCAACCUGAAGAAUGUGAAGCACUUUGUGCUGGAUGAGAUGCUGGGGUGGAUGGACAUGUGGCGGGACAUGUGGGAGGCCUCCCACCUGAUGUUCCAGCAGAAGCAGUGAAUCAUGUUCAGUGCCACGCUGAGCAAGGAGAUCUGGCCUGUGUGCAGGGAGUCCAUGCAGGAUCCCAUGGAGGUGUUUGUGGAUGACGAGACCAAGUGCACGCUGCACGCACUGCAGCAGUACGACCUCAAGCUCAAGGACGCUGAGAAGAACCGCAAGCUUUUUGAUCUCCUGGACAUGCUGGAAUUUAAACAGGUGGCAAUCUUCAUCAAGCUGGUGCAGCCCUGCAUGUCCCCGGCCCAGCUCCUCAUGGAGCAGAACUUCCUGGCCAUGGCCCAGGAGGAAUGCCUGUCAUGCUAUCAGCAGUGCAAGGAUUUCCAGCAGUGGAUCCUGGUGGACAUCAAUCUGUUUGCUCAGAGUCCCCGCGUUCACUUUCAAUCACUUCCUAACCAUUGUAGGAAUUGAGUGAUUCAACGUCGUCUUAACUAUGGCAUGCCUGAAGACUCGGACACCUACCUCCACCCAGUGGCCUGUGCAGAUUGCUUUGGCACUAAAGGCCUGGCCAUCACUUUUGUGUCUGAGGAGAAUGAUGCCAAAGUCCUCAAUGACAUCCAAGACCGGUUUGAAGUGAAUGUGACAGAGCUUCUGGAGGAAAGCAACAUCUCCACAUAUGGUGAGCAGAGUCCCGACCAUGGGCCUCGACGGCCUGGAGGGGUCCUGCUGGCUGUGUGUGGCUUCCUGUGUGCCAGGUGGGUCUCUCUUUUGACUGUCCAAAACCUGCAGAUUUGUUCGUCGGGGUUUCCUGCUUCAACAAUGCUUGGACGGAACCCAGCGCUCGUCCCCCACCCUGGCCGGCCGCCCAUAGCCAGCCCUCCGUUACCUCUUCACAGCGCCCUCGGACUGCCCCAAGGCCCCGGCCGCCGCUCCAGCACCGCGCAGCCAGCGCCGCGCAGCCACCGCCGCCACCGCCGCCACCGCCGCCACCGCCUCUCCUUAGUCGCCACCGUGACGACCGCGUCCACCUCCAGGUGUGCCAGAACUACCACCAGGACUCAGAGGCCGCCAUCAACCGCCAGAUCAACCUGGAGCUCUACGCCUCCUACGUUUACCUGUCCAUGUCUUACUACUUUGAUGGUGAUGAUAUGGCUUUGAAGAACUUUGCCAAAUACUUUCUUCACCAAUCUCGUGAGGAGAGGGAACAUGCUGAGAAACUGAUGAAGCUGCAGCACUAAGGAGGUGGCGGAAUCUUCCUUCAGGAUAUCAAGAAACCAGGCUGUGAUGACUGGGAGAGCAGGCGGAAUGCGAUGGAGUGUGCAUUACAUUUGGAAAAAAAUGUGAAUCAGUCACUACUGGAACUGCACAAACUGGCCACUGACAAAAAUGACCCCCAUUUGUGUGACUUCAUUGAGACACAUUACCUGAAUGAGCAGGUGAGAGCCAUCAAAGAAUUGGGUGACCACGUGACCAACCUGCGCAAGAUGAGAGCACCCGAAUCUGGCUUGGCAGAGUAUCUCUUUGACAAGCACAUCCUGAGAGACAGUGAUAAUGAAAGCUAAGCCUCAGGCUAAUUU